CCUUGCCUGGUGAAGGACACACACGCACCGACACACUUCUGACUCACAGAUGCAGAAUAUUGAUAAGUCGAGUCAGUGAACCUCCUCAGCUGCCCACCAGGGAGCCACGCAGUCUCCUGAGCCGCCAGCACAGUAAUGGCCGUUCAUUAUCUCAGCAGUCCAUCAGGGGCGGCAAUCAUUAGAAACGACGGCUGACAGAGGUGAAGCCAAGGUCAGCUGAACUCAACCAACACUAGGUCAGACAGCGGCAGUGUAUGGAAGGGGCGAGUGAGAGUGUUGUUGUGUUGGCUUGCCUCCACCACACGCCCACGUCUUGGGGUCACAAAGAAAGUCACCAAGCGGGUUUAGACACCUUUCCUUCGCUGAUAGUGGUUCCUGGGAUGAUUCCUGCUGACGACGAUACUGGGUGGUGAUGGUGACAGUAGCGGUGGAAGGAGCUGUAUUGGUAGUAACAGUUUAACAGAGUGGUGAUCAUGACUGUGCUG